rnacentral:sRNA from 1 species
AAGUUCCGUUUUUCGUUCUGAAAAAUGGUAGUUAUAAUUUCACAAGGAAUAAGGAAUAACAGCUCCUGACUGAAUGAGGGGUACAUGUAUGUAAACACAAUGUGAAUAUUCAGGAAAGAAGAAUGGCGGAGGGGGGAGACAACACCGCGCCAUGUGACCUGUGUGACGGUCAGAACGAGAUUAACAGGAAAUGUCUGACGUGUGACGAGUUCAUGUGCGAAUCCUGCAGCAGGAUCCACUCCAAAAGUAGGCAGUCACGUGAUCAUGACAUCAUCACCAUCGCCGACUCCGAAAAGUUUACAGCGCUCGUGCCCUAUCAGCCCCGCGAAAAUGAUGAUCAGGCAGACGACAUCGAUGACAUUGAUGAUUUCUGUGAGGAGCAUGAAGGAGAGAGAUGCAUUUUGUUCUGUGUUACGCGAGGAUGUAAUUGCUUGGUCUGCCGUGUCUGUAUUUUAGAUUAUCAUCAAGGACAUCGAUUCGUGGAAAUUGAUGAUGUCCUGACAUCAUUUAAGCGCCACGAGGCUGACAGAAGUCGCGAGGAAAUCGAAAACUGUAUUUUGCCAUAUCUCACAGAGAAGAAAAUGCGACUGACCGCGGCUAGAGAAAGUGUCUUGAAUGACAUUCAAAGUAAAAAAGAAACGGUGAAACACAGGUAUGAGGAACUCCGGAAAGAGUUAGAUAAGCACUAUCAAACAACCCUGUCUGGUUUAGCUAAUGCAGGCAAGGCCAAUAUAGAGAUUAUUGAUACUUUAGGAAAGUCCAUAGAUUUCCAUAUAUCACGGGUAAGAUCUAACCUGACUACCGGCGAAAAACGCUCUGAAAACAGAAAUGACAUUGGAUACAUCAAGUAUGCUCGUAUGUUAGAAACUGACAUCGAAAGUACACCCUGAGGUGUUGAUUCCGAGUUUCAAUAGACUCAUGUUAAAUACACAUGGAAACUGUACGAUAUCUGAUAUUUUUGGAGAUCUUGAAGAGGUUGUCGAGUGUGAACCGGAAGUAAUUUCGCGGUCAUCGACAGGCUUCCCUGAAGUGUCUUCCAUCUGUCCCGUGUCGCCAUUCGCAGCUUGGCACGGACAUUACAAACACAGAGGCAUACAACUCUUAGAGGUAGAUGAAUGUGACCAUCUUUUACCCGGAGGAGGUUUUGGAAAAUCCGGGGUUUUAAACAUGGCUGCCACACCGGAAGGAGAUAUGUAUAUGGUCAUCUACGGAAGUAAUGACGUCAUCAUGUUAAAAACAGACGGUUCGGUUGAAAAGAUUUAUGACACUCGACCUUAUGUUGCUCUAGGUAUUGCAGUUACUAAAAAUAGAGACAUCUUACUUUGUCUUGCCGAGUCGUAUCCUAACGAAAUGAACUCAAAUGGAAAGCGGAGAGUGGCGCGAAUUACAAAUUUUGGUAUUACGCGAGAUAUUAUUGAAAAGGACACCGAGGGACAGGACAUAUUUGUAUACCCCUUUCGUGUUGGUGAAAAUAUAAAUGGCGACAUCGGCGUCAUAGAUCACGUGGGAGAUGCGGAAGGGUUGCUCGUGUUGUUAAACUCGGAGGGCACCACGAGGUUUACUUACAAUGGUCGAGAGCAACUCGAGGGGCAAGUCUGCAACUUGACUGACAUCACAUUUGACGGAGAGGGUUGCAUCCUGAUGUCUGACGUCACAAAUCAAUGCAUCCACAUGCUAUCGAAGGACGGUAAAUUCCUCCGCUUUGUAGACGUGUACAUCUACUAUAACACUAAGUUAUCUCCGACAACGCUCGCCGUGGAUUCCUCGGAAUGCCUCUGGGUUGGAGGCGUUUCCAAGCAUAGAUACUUUAACAGAACAGAUGCCCACGUCGUACGUGUCAAAUAUAAAAUGUAAAAAACCUGAUUUAUCAACAAUGAUUAUGAAGAUUGUGUUCAUUAAAUUUAAUAAAGAUUUCAAUUUAC